AGCAGGCUCCCUGCUGAACAGAGAGCCUGAUGCGGGACUCGAUCCCAGGACCCUGAGAUCAUGACCUGAGCCGAAGGCAGAGCCUUAACCCACUGAGCCACCCAGGCGCCCUGGAAUCAGCUUUUAAACGACACUCCUUAUGCGGCAUACAGAGGCUCCACCAGCACUGUGGUGAGUGUCACAUCCUAAGAGAGCUACUAUAAAAAAAGAAAAUACCACGCUUUCCCGUAGGAGAACCUGGGUUUGACACUGGUCUGUCACUGCUGUGUAACCUCUGUGAGGCCUCCUCCGAAGCAGUGCUCACAGCUGGCCCACUGUGGGCGGGGAGGGCCUCUUGGUGGGAGGCCACUGCUGCCACUCUCUCCAUCCACCUGAUUUCUCCAUCUACCUGAUUCCCUGUCCACCAGCCUUCCUGCCAGGCUCUAUCUGGUACCUUUCUGUGGGAACCUGCUCAUGCCGAGGUCGCCCUGACAUGCUUGGGAACGCCCGGUAUCAAAACAAAAUGUGUCUGGACGUCAGCAAUCUUGUCAGGGCAGCGCCUCUGCCCCUGGAGGGCCUCUCAGGUCUGACCACCCUGGCUGUCUGCCAUUCCCUGCCUGCGGAUUCCUUGGUGUUUUAAAGCCCAAAGUCAAUGAUAGCCAGCCUACCAGGAAGGACUUGCUCCUUUACCUGCUGGAUGCCACUGAAUAUCCUGACCACUUUUCCUUUAACCACUGACCAACAGCCAGAGCCUGGGGUGGGAACGGUACUACCACAAACCUUGCAGGGGCAGGGACCACGCCUAAUCUGUUGACUCCUGGCAGAGCUGGCCCUUGAUAAGCACGUAACUGAAUUAAUGUUUUAAAGAUCUCAACAGGACAGCCAGAAAAACAGAGGCCGCGGUCUGUGAAGCAAGCUGGGCUCUGUGCUCCAGGACAAGGCAUCUGAGGCACAGGUGUGGAAUCAGGCCAAACUGGGAGCAGACCCAGCCUGUUUCCCUCCUAGCUGUGUCACCUUGGGCAGGUGCCUCGACUCCUUCAGCCUCUUAACCACACCCAGGAUGUGGAAAGAGAACCACCUACCUCCCAGGGUGUGACUGCAAAGCACUUAACCCAGACCCCCGUGUGCCAGUGGUGAGGGAUGUGGCGCUUCCCUGGGGGCAGGGCCAGAGCAAGGCUGCUACCUGCCCCAGACAGGUGAAUGCCAAUGGGCUGCAUAGGUUCAGCCGCUGGGGAAGGAGAUGUUAGGCAGCUCUCCCACUGCCUGUUGAGCAGGCAGACCCCUGAAGGAAAGCAGAGUCCCUACAAAUUCCAGCAGGAAAGCAAAAUUCUGUCUAUGUUUGAAAAAAAUCGUAUCAGGACCCUGAAAUGACCUUUAAGGUGGACAAAGACUCUUUCCAGUUGGGGACUGAAGUCCUCUCCCCUAAGCCCAGCCCUGACAUGGCUGGUUUUUUCAAAGUUAUCGCUCAAGGUCUCAGGCAGUCUCUGUAUAUCUCUCAGAAACCUGCUGCCUGAGUCAGGCCCUGAAGUGUGGAGAGAACUGGGGGCUCCAGUCAGGAAAGCGAGAACCUCCAUUAACUCUGCUGAGGCUGACAAAAUACAUGCAGGUCACUGCCCGGGGCUCUUCAGCUCCCAAGCAGACCCCUUACAGAAAGCCAAGUCUGUCCUUUCCAGAAAAUCACUGACUCCAUACCCACCAAAUCUGCAACUCAUUCCUCUAGAUAUGUGUGGCAUAUAAACAGAUUGUCAUGUACCCCAAAUUCCACGCACCCACUACUGGGUGGUUUGGAAGAGGCUCGUGGCCACUUGACACCUGUCCUGGGAUGGUCUGCCACAACAUGGGGAAGCUCUUACCUGUUCAGGUGAGGCUUCGAAGUCAGGGGCUUCCAGGGCAUCCCGUAUCUGGCUGUCUGGCAGGAAGUCAGGUUCCAUGGCUGAGGACUCCCCCAACACAGCCUGGUCUGCAGAGCCAGGAGGGGGCUCAUGCCAGCUUGUGGGGUCCGCAGGGACAUCUAUGCUGUCCUGGCAGGCCCUGGUCUCCUGGGAAGGGCCACCCACUGCUUCUCUGUGCACUGGUGGAGCAAAGGCUCCAAGAGACAGACUGAAUCCCUCAAGGUUUUGUUCAGGGCUCUGGUGACCUAAUUCAACUGCUUUUUUACCUGUGGACUGCAACAGUAAAGGCAGUGCACACACACCUCCCAGCCCCUCUUGAUCCAGGCCAGGCACCUUUGUCUGAUUAAUACCUGGGCCCAUUUCCGAGGCUAGAAGACUGAAAUUUCCUGCACCUGUCGUGGGCUCUCUUAUCUUGUGACCCAGAGCCAGGCAGGAUGCAGGGCCCCCUGGAAUGUUGCCAGGAAGCUUGUCUUCCCACCCUGCCUCCCCUCUGUGUCCUGUCCCCCCCAUGAGAGGUGUGCCUCUGAGCAGGGUCCCAAUGCAGCCUCCAUCAGGGGCCUUCCCACUGGGACAAGUAGGUGCCCUCGUGUUGGCCUGCUCAUCUGGCCCGAUAACCUCCGGAGCCCUCUGUUCUGGCUCAGUGGGAUGUGUGCUCAGAUCUUUGAUGACAACGGUCCCAAGGGAGGAGUGUCUUGGGCUGCUACAAUUCUGUUCUGCUUCCCUGCCAGUCUCGCUGGUUAUCCACAAGGUGUCAGGGAGGCCCUGGGCUGCAGAUCUGGGCUCCGGGCCCUGAGUGAUGGGACCUACGACACUGUCUCCUUCCUCCUGAUGCCUCUCAGUCAGGUCAGCCCCUGCUCCCCCUCGGGGACCUGCUUUCUGGAUUGCUCCUUGUUCUGACUCCUUCUCUGCAGCACCACUACUCAGCAGGGGACCUUUCUGGCCAUGAUAGCCUAGAAUCCAACACCCUUCCCUGCUUUCACCCUCUGGUGUGUUGGUUACUUGCUCCAAGAGGUGGUCCUGGCUGGCCCUCUUGGAGGCCAAGGACACUGUCCCCCAUUCUGGAGAGGCAUCAAUGGAGGCUGAGGGCUGAGGGGUCCCACUGCCAGGCACACGUGUCAUGGGCUUUUGGUCUCUGUGCUCAGGGUGGGUGCUGUCUCUCUGGGUCUGGGCACUCAGCUCCCUGGCCUCCCAGGGAGCAAGCCCUAGGGAUUCCUCCCCUGGUUGGCUUCUGUCCUGCUGGGCACUGGGCUCUGGUGGUGUUUCCUGUGGAGAGAAAAACACUCAGCCUCGAGCCUUCAAUUAUCAACCAUUUCUAAAGACUUUUCUUCUUCUUUUUUUUUUUUAAGUAGGCCCAUGCCCUGCAUGGAGCCCAAUGUGGGGCUUGAACUUAUGACCCUGACAUUAAGUCCUGAGUGAAAUCAAGAGCUGAACACUUAACUGACUGAGCCACUCAGGUGCCCCAAGACUUUUCCAGUUGGAAUUACCUCCCAUAUAAAGUCUCAGACGCUGCACAUGAUGUCCCCAUUCAGUACCAGUGCUGGCCAUAGUUAGAACUAGGGGCUGCACGGGCAAGAGGAAGCACAGGAAUCCCUCCUUCCAUCAGCUCCUUUCCACCAGCACCAGGCACACAGAGGCUCUUGGACAGAUCAAGGAUAUAAAUCAAGGAGGCCUGUGGAUUGUGCCCAUGUUGACUGCCUGGCGCUGGCAAAAGAUGCUAGUUACAGAACAUGUUACCACUGGAGGAAACGGGAGGAGGGCAUACACAGAUCUCUCUGAAGUGUUUUGUUUUUUUGUGGUAAAAUACACAUUACAUAAAACUCGGCAUCUUAACCAUUUUGAAGUGUA